CGGGCAUUUAGUUUUCUAGGUAAUUUUGGCCGGUGAUGAGGGUUUUGAACACCGACAUCAUAUUGGUCAAAGGUCGAUCAAAAAAAAAAAAAAAAAAAAAAAAGGUCGAUCAGGGACGACUAACAUUAGGCCAACUCCAGUAUAUUUGGGUUGAGGAAUAUUGGCCACACUGAUCAACGUUUGUAGUGGUCAUCUCGUUCGACGUUUAACGUCGAUC
rnacentral:lncRNA from 1 species